GAUGAACGCUAGCGGGAGGCUUAACACAUGCAAGUCGAGGGGCAGCAUAGGGUAGCAAUACUCUGAUGGCGACCGGCAAACGGGUGAGUAACGCGUAUGUAACCUACCCUGUACAGGGGGAUAACCCGGAGAAAUUCGGACUAAUAUCCCAUAACAAUAUCCGGGGGCAUCUUUGGACAUUUAAAGUUCCGGCGGUACGGGAUGGGCAUGCGUAACAUUAGCUAGUUGGUAAGGUAACGGCUUACCAAGGCUUUGAUGUUUAGGGGUCCUGAGAGGGUGGUCCCCCACACUGGUACUGAGACACGGACCAGACUCCUACGGGAGGCAGCAGUGAGGAAUAUUGGUCAAUGGGCGCAAGCCUGAACCAGCCAUCCCGCGUGCAGGAAGACGGCGCUAUGCGUUGUAAACUGCUUUUCCAGGGAGAGAAACUUGCGCACGUGUUGCGCAAUUGACGGUACCCUGGGAAUAAGCAUCGGCUAACUCCGUGCCAGCAGCCGCGGUAAUCUGU
rnacentral:rRNA from 1 species